rnacentral:rRNA from 1 species
AGAGUUUGAUCCUGGCUCAGAAUCAACGCUGGCGGCGUGCCUAACACAUGCAAGUCGAACGCGAAAGGGGAGCAAUCCCUGAGUAGAGUGGCAAACGGGUGAGUAACACGUGGGUGACCUGCCUUCGAGUGGGGGAUAACGUCCCGAAAGGGACGCUAAUACCGCAUGACAUCCUGCUCUUGGACGAGCGGAAAUCAAAGCUGGGGAUCGCAAGACCUGGCGCUUGAAGAGGGGCCCGCGCCUGAUUAGCUAGUUGGUGAGGUAAUGGCUCACCAAGGCAACGAUCAGUAUCCGGCCUGAGAGGGCGGACGGACACACUGGGACUGAGACACGGCCCAGACUCCUACGGGAGGCAGCAGUGGGGAAUUGUUCGCAAUGGGCGCAAGCCUGACGACGCAACGCCGCGUGGAGGACGAAGAUCUUCGGGUCGUAAACUCCUGUCGAGCGGGACGAACACCCAUCCGGUGAACAUCCGGGAGGGCUGACGGUACCGCUAAAGGAAGCCCCGGCUAACUCCGUGCCAGCAGCCGCGGUAAUACGGGGGGGGCAAGCGUUGUUCGGAAUUACUGGGCGUAAAGGGCUCGUAGGCGGCCAACUAAGUCACACGUGAAAUCCCCAGGCUCAACCUGGGAACUGCGUGUGAUACUGGAUGGCUUGAAUUCGGGAGAGGGAUGCAGAAUUCCAGGUGUAGCGGUGAAAUGCGUAGAUAUCUGGAGGAAUACCGGUGGCGAAGGCGGCAUCCUGGACCGACAUUGACGCUGAUGAGCGAAAGCUAGGGGAGCAAACGGGAUUAGAUACCCCGGUAGUCCUAGCNCUAAACGAUGAAUGCUUGGUGUGACGGGUAUCGAUCUCUGUCGUGCCGAAGCUAACGCAUUAAGCAUUCCGCCU